GGGUCCCCUAGGUCGCGGGGCAGCCGGGGCGGAAGGGGCUUGUUCAUUAUUUUGAGAGUUUGUUGUGAACGUCAUAACCUUUCGUCCUUAAAUAUUGCCGAUACUUGACCUACGCAAGAGACAAUGUCAUGUGAUUCAGCCUAAUAUCUCAGGACGCGCAUGAAAUUUGGUGCCGUGACUCGGAUCGGCGGACCUCCCUUAGGAGAUCAAUCCCCUGUCCUCCUGCUCUUUGCUCCAUGAGAAAGAUCCACCUACGACCUAAGGUCCUCAGACCAACCAGCCCAAGAAACAUCUCACCAAUUUCAAAUCCGAAAUCCUUCAUCUAAUCUGGCAAACACAUGUGGCAGGUUUUUCUCACCGCAUAAAAUAUGUUAUAGAGUAGUCCAUCUAUUUCUCUUCCAUGGAAGAGUUCAUCUGGUAGAUUGGACUACCACUUUUCCUUGUGGAGACCUAUUCUGUUGGGUUAGAGAUGACAGAAAAUCUUAUUUGUCGGUUGGUUUGUUUGUUCAAGAAUACACUGACCUUCUACAAGAAAGGAGAGCUCUUUGACACCUGGAAAUUUUACAGAAGCUUGGGACAGCUCUGAAUGGCAACACGGUCCUGAGAUAUGUGAUUACCUGGGACUUUCAUUGGACCUGCAUUUCAGCUCUACUCUCCUCACUGCCCUAUGCUGCUUUGACCCUAAAAGUGAAGCCAGCUUGGCCAGGUGCAGUGACUCACACCUGUAAUCCCAGCACUUUGGGAGGCCGAGGUGGGCAAAUCAAGAAGUCAGGAAAUCGAGACCACCCUGGCCAACAUUGUGAAACACCAUCUCUACUAAAACACAAAAAAAUUAGCCAGGUGUGGUGGCACGCACCUGUAGUCCCAGCUACUCGGGAGGCUGAGGCAGGGGAAUCACUUGAACCCGUGAGGAGGAAAUUGCAGCGAGCCAAGAUCGCGCCACUGCACCCCAGCCUGGGCGACAGAGAGAGACUCCAUCUCAAAAACAAAACAAAACAAAACAAAAAAAACAAA
rnacentral:lncRNA from 1 species